rnacentral:rRNA from 1 species
GGGAACGUACCCUUUGGUUCGGAAUAACGCUGGGAAACUAGCGCUAAUACCGGAUACGCCCUUUUGGGGAAAGGCUUGCUGCCGAAGGAUCGGCCCGCGUCUGAUUAGCUAGUUGGUGGGGUAAUGGCCUACCAAGGCGACGAUCAGUAGCUGGUCUGAGAGGAUGAUCAGCCACACUGGGACUGAGACACGGCCCAGACUCCUACGGGAGGCAGCAGUGGGGAAUAUUGGACAAUGGGCGCAAGCCUGAUCCAGCCAUGCCGCGUGAGUGAUGGAGGCCUUAGGGUUGUAAAGCUCUUUUGUCCGGGACGAUAAUGACGGUACCGGAAGAAUAAGCCCCGGCUAACUUCGUGCCAGCAGCCGCGGUAAUACGAAGGGGGCUAGCGUUGCUCGGAAUCACUGGGCGUAAAGGGCGCGUAGGCGGCCAUUCAAGUCGGGGGUGAAAGCCUGUGGCUCAACCACAGAAUUGCCUUCGAUACUGUUUGGCUUGAGUAUGGCAGAGGUCAGUGGAACUGCGAGU